AGGCCGUGGAGCUUGCCAGC
rnacentral:miRNA from 1 species